CCCCAGAUGUUGCUGAACUACAACUCCCAUGAUUCUUUCAAUUAAAAAAAGAUAGCCAGGGAAUCAUGGGAAUUGUAGUUCAGCAACAUCUGGGG